UACGUAGGGUGCAAGCGUUGUCCGGAAUUAUUGGGCGUAAAGAGCUCGUAGGCGGUCUGUCGCGUCGGAUGUGAAAAUCCAGGGCUCAACCCUGGACCUGCAUUCGAUACGGGCAGACUAGAGUUCGGUAGGGGAGACUGGAAUUCCUGGUGUAGCGGUGAAAUGCGCAGAUAUCAGGAGGAACACCGAUGGCGAAGGCAGGUCUCUGGGCCAUUACUGACACUGAGAAGCGAAAGCAUGGGGAGCGAACAGG
rnacentral:rRNA from 1 species